UCCGUAGGUGAACCUGCGGAAGGAUCAUUACCGUAUGGCUUACCCCCGCCGGGGUAACGAAACCACCUCUGGGGGGUCGCCUGGCCCCCCUCCAUAACGUAACGCAGCCUGUCCUCGCAUGUAUGUAACGUUGUCUUAAUGAAUACAACUUUCAACGACGGAUCUCUUGGCUUUCGCAUCGAUGAAGAACGCCGCGAAAGAGCGAAACGUAAUGUGAAUUGCAGAAUUCAGUGAAUCAUCGAAUCUUUGAACGCAUCUUGCGCUCCUUGGCAUUCCGAGGAGCAUGCCUGUUUGAGUGUCAUGAAACCUUCUCAACCCUGCCGGGGGUUGGACUUUGGACGCCUGCGGUGGGCCACCAUCGCUCGUCUUCAAACGCAUCAGCGGGUCCCGGGUCUCGUACGGGAAAACGGCGUGAUAAGGAAAAACGUCCGCUUUGACGCCGUCCGUACGAGCGUGGCCGCUCCUAGCCCGUCCCYUCUGGGACAACUCUGACAUCUGACCUCAAAUCAGGCAGGACUACCCGCUGAACUUAAGCAUAUCAAUAAGCGGAGGAA
rnacentral:rRNA from 1 species